UACGGAGGGUGCAAGCGUUAUCCGGAUUCACUGGGUUUAAAGGGUGCGUAGGCGGGCAGAUAAGUCAGUGGUGAAAUACCUGAGCUUAACUUGGGAACUGCCAUUGAUACUAUUUGUCUUGAAUGUCGUGGAGGUUAGCGGAAUAUGUCAUGUAGCGGUGAAAUGCUUAGAGAUGACAUAGAACACCUAAUUGCGAAGGCAGCUAACUACGCGAAUAUUGACGCUGAGGCACGAAAGCGUGGGGAUCAAACAGG
rnacentral:rRNA from 1 species